GCCUCGGUGGUGGAAUUGGUAGACGCAGCGGACUCAAAAUCCGCCGCCGCAAGGCGUGCCGGUUCGAUUCCGGCCCGGGGCA
rfam:Duganella sacchari strain Sac-22 genome assembly, contig: Ga0075198_106